GAGAAAUGCAAGACGUGGUCGUAUCGGGGGCCGGCGGGCGGCGGAGGAAGGAAAUGCCACAGAGUAGGUUAUGCGGAUGGUUGUUCAUAGGAUCGGGGUCGGUUUUCUUUAUCGGGUUUCUCUACGCUACCGUUGUAUCCAAGCUUCUUCCACCUUCCGAUAACCCCAUCAUCUCCGCCAUCCAAAACGAUCGGUACUAUUGCUUCUUGGUGCCACUGACUCUCCCGGUCCUUGUGGUUGCUGUUUACUUUCACUGGCUCAGCAUGAAGAUGUUCAAACAUGCCUGAUUUUUAUCCAUCAGUUCUCAUACGGACACAAUGAAGCAGUUUAAAACAAGCAAGUCUUCUCAAAUUCUGCCAUAGGAAGGGAAGGAGAAAGAUUGCUACUAAAGAGAUGAAGAAUAAGAUACAACAAGAAGUCUGAGAGAGUUUGGAGCCAAGAAAAAUAAAAAGGGGCUGAAAUUCUCUGAAAUGCUAUGAAAUAAUAUAUUGCUACACCUGCUGUGUGUGUUGCAGUAAUGAUAUUGCCAAUUGAUAUCCAUUCGUGGUUGACAGAUACACGACUGUACAUAUUUCAAUUUUUUGUACUUGGUUAGUUGUUGUAUAUCUAUGCAAUCGGCUUGAGUCCAGCUAAACGAUGUCAAUUUUAUUUGAUAAGUUUUGGUGGUAAGAC